rnacentral:rRNA from 1 species
UGAUGGCGACCGGCGCACGGGUGCGUAACGCGUAUGCAACCUACCUUUUACAGGGGCAUAACACUGAGAAAUUGGUACUAAUUCCCCAUAAUAUCUGAGACGGCAUCGGUUUUGGGUUGAAAACUCCGGUGGUAAAAGAUGGGCAUGCGUUGUAUUAGCUAGUUGGUGAGGUAACGGCUCACCAAGGCGACGAUACAUAGGGGGACUGAGAGGUUAAACCCCCCCACAUUGGUACUGAGACACGGACCAAACUCCUACGGGAGGCAGCAG